AAGGGCACCACAAGAACGCGUGGAGCAUGUGGCUUAAUUUGACUCAACGCGGGAAAUCUUACCGGGUCCGGACACACUGAGGAUUGACAGAUACACUCAUUUACACCACACAUUAGUGCUGUGUGUAAUUGAGUGAAAAUAUGCUAGUUCUUUCAUGAUUAUGUGAUAGGUGGUGCAUGGCCGUUCUUAGUUCGUGGAGUGAUUUGUCUGCUUAAUUGCGUUUCAAAAAAAAAAAUAGAUAAAAAUUUAAAUUUUUUAAUUAAUUUUUAUUUUUUUAAAUCUAUAUAAAAAUAGAAAGCAACGAACGUGACUGCAACCUUUAGUUAAUUGUGUGACCACUUACGGUACACUACUACUAAAGGGACCGCUGUUUCUUUUCUUUUAAACCAGAGGAAGGUUGCGGCAAUAACAGGUCUGUGAUGCCCUUAGAUGUUCCGGGCUGCACACGUGCUACAAUGAUUAUUGCAGUGUGCAUCUACCAUAUUUACCUACCUCGAUACGAGUUUAGUGGGUUAUCAAUUAGAAGUAAUGUAAAUUUAUAUAAAUUCAUAGUGGGGACAGACCAUUGUUAAAUUGUUGGUCUCGGUCUUAACUAGGAAUGCCUUGUACGGGUCUUUGGUUCAACAGACCACCCGGAAUACGUCCCUGCCCUUUGUACACACCGCCCGUCGCUCUUACCGAUGAACUUCUCUGUGAGUUUGAGAGACACACUUUUACUGCUGAAACUUAAACGAACAGUGUGGUUUAAAGGAAAGAGAAGUCGUAACAAGGCAUCGGUAGGUGAACCU
rnacentral:rRNA from 1 species